GCCUGGGUGGCUCAGUUGGUUGAGCGUCUGACUUGGGCUCAGGACAUGAUCUCACGGUUCGUGAGUUUGAGCCCCACAUUGGGCU
rnacentral:tRNA from 1 species